CUCGCAAGUGCUCGCACCUCAGGAUGACGAGCUCACUCCACCGUGUAGCUGCGCACGAGUUUGGGCGCGGCCCAGUUCAGCGCGGUGGCCUCCAUCAGCCAGCGUCCGGUGUAUUCGGCCAUGAAAGCGAUGCGUUGGGUCUGGCCCUUGUCCAUCAUCAGUGUGUCGAGCCAGAACGGCUUCCAGCCGUCGUCGAGGCGGUCGAGCAGGCGGAAGUGGUGGCC
rnacentral:misc_RNA from 1 species